rnacentral:rRNA from 1 species
UGCGCGCCUGUAGCAAUACAGGUGGCGCACGGCGCACGGGUGCGUAACACGUGGGCAAUCUGCCCUCCGAUGGGGAAUAACUCCGGGAAACCGAAGCUAAUUCCGCAUAACAUUCCUUGGACUUCGGUUUGGGGACUCAAAGGCGUAAGUCGUCGGAGGAGGAGCCCGCGCACGAUUAGCUAGUUGGUAGGGUAACGGCCUACCAAGGCUUUGAUCGUUAGCUGGUCUGAGAGGAUGGCCAGCCACACUGGAACUGAGACACGGUCCAGACUCCUACGGGAGGCAGCAGUGGGGAAUCUUGCACAAUGGGCGAAAGCCUGAUGCAGCGACGCCGCGUGGGGGAUGAAGCUUUUCGGAGUGUAAACCCCUUUCGACCCGGACGAAUGCCCCGCAAGGGGACUGACGGUACGGGUAUAAGAAGCCCCGGCUAACUACGUGCCAGCAGCCGCGGUAAGACGUGGGGGGCCAGCGUUGCUCGGAAUUACUGGGUGUAAAGGGUCAGUAGGCGGUGUGGCAAGUCGGGAGUGAAAUCUCUGGGCUUAACUCAGAGACUGCUUCCGAAACUGCUGUGCUAGAGUGUGGGAGAGGCGCGUGGAAUUGCAGGUGUAGCGGUGAAAUGCGUAGAUAUCUGCAGGAACACCCGUGGCGAAAGCGGCGCGCUGGACCACAACUGACGCUGA